UGCAGUGUACUUAAGAGGAGCAGCUCGCGCUUGUACAGAAUCCGACUAGGUAUGGCCAAUUUCAGGAAAGCUCUCUUGUUUCUUCUUGCUCUUCUUGUGAUGUUUUCUUUGGUGAGCUGUAGAUCAAGUGUCAAGCAGCUUCCAAUUGAGUGCAGGAAGGGUAGUGAUGGAAGCUACAACAACAUUUGCAAAUGUUGCUCUGUGAUUGGAAGCAGCUCUCAGUACUGCAAGGAAGAUCAGAAAGAAAUUGAAGAGAUCAAUUCCAGUUGCGCUGUAAUCCUUUGUGCACCGACACCAUUGUGAGUGUUAUGUACAACACCGAAGAAUAAUAUACUUUUGUAGCAAAGAAAUACAAGACCAGUUUUCUUUUGUCUUGUUUCUCGCUUUAUGUGUGCUAGGCAGUGGAAAGUAAUUUCGUAGGGAAUACU
rnacentral:lncRNA from 1 species